UUGUCUUAUUGCCCUCACAUAUUGGCACGUCUUAUUGUUAGUUUUUUCUCCUUAGCUGUCCUACCACUGUAAUCUACUAAUCUUAACAUUAAAUUCGCAUACUAUUAGCCGCGGACUACUGUGAAACUGCCAAACAAACAAAAAAACGCGUUAUUUUUCUACUCCUUCCAGCCAGUUCCAGGCAGUUUCCCUCCCCAAGAUGAGCUCUCUCUCAACUCUCAGUACUAUUUAUACCCAUCUUCCCUUUCAAAACUCUUCACUCCAACUCUAACACUCAUCACUUCUUCUCUUUUCCAUCAAUCUUGUUUAAGAUCUAUUAUUAUGGCCUCUUUUGUUGCCCCUCAUUUUCUUCUUAAGCUCCUUUUAUUAGUCUCUCUUGUUCAUUUUAGCUCAGCAGUAAGGAGACUCGCAGAGUCUGAUCAAAACCAGCACCCCUUGUUGUUUCAAUACCACAAUGGUCCUCUUCUUACUGGCAAAAUUUCUAUCAACUUGAUUUGGUACGGUAACUUCAAACCUGCCCAACGUGCCAUUGUCUCAGAUUUCAUUACCUCCCUUUCUUCUGCUCAACCCACCACGUCCCAACCUUCUGUUGCUACCUGGUGGAAAGCCACAGAGAAAUACUACCACCUCGUCAAAUCCAAGAAAACCGCUCCUCUCGCCCUUUCCUUGGGCACCCAAAUCUUUGAUGAAAGUUAUUCAUUAGGCAAAUCGCUCUCCAGUAAGCACAUUGUUCAAUUAGCCUCCAAGGGUGGUCAAAAAGAUGCUAUCAAUGUGGUUUUGACGUCGUCCGAUGUGGCUGUGCAAGGGUUUUGCUCUAUCAGGUGUGGCACUCAUGGUUCUUCUAUGAGUGGUCAAAAAAUCAAUGGCAAAAGCUCCAAAUUUGCUUACAUCUGGGUUGGGAAUUCUGAGACUCAAUGCCCAGGUCAAUGUGCUUGGCCAUUCCACCAGCCAAUCUAUGGACCACAAAGCCCACCUCUUGUUGCGCCCAACAACGAUGUAGGUCUUGAUGGUAUGGUCAUCAAUUUGGCUAGCCUUUUAGCUGGAACUGUGACCAAUCCAUUUGGAAAUGGAUACUUCCAAGGUCCAAAGGAGGCUCCCCUGGAAGCUGCAUCGGCUUGCCCUGGGGUAUAUGGAAAGGGAGCCUAUCCCGGUUAUGCAGGGGAUCUCUUGGUGGACGCUACAACUGGUGCUAGCUACAAUGCACACGGUGUUGAUGGCAGGAAAUAUUUGCUUCCCGCUUUGUUUGAUCCUUCAACCUCAGCUUGUUCGACUCUGGUCUGAAACGCGCUCACCAAUCUUCUUGUAAAACAUAAGUAACUGUAGAAUUGCGAGAAAAACAGAAUAUUCUUUGAUUUUUUAUCAUUAAAUUCAUUCAUUUGUAGUACCGUUAAUGAAUAAUGAAAACGCAGAUUUUCUUCCGAAUAAUUUUGUUUUAUAUCUUUUUCCCAAUUUAUUUGUAAAUUUACAAGGAUAACUAUUAA
rnacentral:misc_RNA from 1 species